UGAUGUGUUUGCUUUUCUCUUUCUCCAGGGUGAGGCUGGAGUGAGUGGCCUCCCAGGAGGAAAUGGAGUUCGUGGUCCUCCUGGACCAUCUGGACUCCCAGGGCUGCCUGGUCCCCCAGGUCCCCCAGGACCUCCUGUAAGUACUACCACAGACUUGCUGAGAGCAAAGAAAGUCCAGGGAUUUCAUGGUCAGGGGUGCAGGCUUUGAGUAAAGGUGGACAGAAGAAAAAGUUAAUCCUGGGAUGAGCCCAGGAUCUCAUCCUUCUGCUAAGCUGAAACUCCUAGCCAAAGCAGUGCAUUAAGUUCUUCAAGCUCCCAGAAAGAAAAAACAAAACAAAACUGUAAGACAUAGGAGAGGUUAGGACCUGAAGCAAAGGGAUUGCCUGGAGUGUCAG
rnacentral:lncRNA from 1 species